GAGAUUUUGUACUCGAGGAUAUGCAUUCACAACUCAGAAGAGGAGACGUUCGAGUACGACUUAUGAUGCUGGCGUUUGUUCUGCAUCAGGAGAUGAUGUAUACUACGGACACAUACAUGAGAUUUUGGAAAUCAACUAUUUGGGCAUGGUUGGAUUGCGCUGUACUGUUUUCUAUUGUGAUUGGCACGACAACACUCCAGAUCGAGGUGUGAGAACAGAUGUAUUUGGUGCUACAUCAGUAAAUUCGAGGCGAAAGCUGCAAUAUUAUGAUCCUUUCAUUCUUGCUUCUCAGGCCGAUCAGGUUUGUUAUAUCAAGUACCCCCGGUUAAGGAACAUAGAUGAUCCAUGGGUUACUGUUACAAGACUCUGCCGAGUACAGAUGAUCAAUGAAGAAACUUCAAACUUUGCCGAGUACUACUUUCCAGCAGAAGUUCAGACCAAAAACAGAAGACCUGCUCGACAUGAUGAUAAAGGCGAACGGACAACAUAUCAUGUUACGGUUCCAGACAUUUUCACAGACGUUGGACGACUUAGCAGAAAACCAAAGGACCGUCGACUUACUAAGCAGGAGCGUAGUCAUUUGCAAACAUAUUUACUCACCAACUGCGAAGAUGUUCUUCAAUAUGAGAGGAUUUUCAUGGCAGAAAAGCGGUUCGAAUAUAGAUACGCCACAGAGAAUGAACUAGAAGAAAUAAUGCAGAGAGAAUUUGCUGGAUGGAUGUUUACUUAUGUGAGUGCUUUAAACAAAUUAAAAUAUCAUUUAUCACAUAUUUAUACUAAUUCACAUUUAUUGAUAUAACAUAUAUAUGUGCUAUUAAUAGGUGUCUGCUGAUUUGGCCAGAGGUGAAACAUUUGACGAUUGGAUACGCGAGAUGGUCGUUGGACCAAACUUUGUUGUUAAGUCAUAUCCGAGAUUUUGUACUCGAGGAUAUGCAUUCACAACUCAGAAGAGGAGAAGUUCGAGUACGACUUAUGAUGCUGGCGUUUGUUCUGCAUCAGGAGAUGAUGUAUACUACAGACACAUACAUGAGAUUUUGGAAAUCAAGUAUUUGGGCAUGGUUGGAUUUCGCUGUACUGUUUUCUAUUGUGAUUGGCACGACAACACUCCAGAUCGAGGUGUGAGAACAGAUGCAUUUGAUGUUACAUCAGUAAAUUCGAGGCGAAAGCUGCAAUAUUAUGAUCCUUUCAUUCUUGCUUCUCAGGCCGAUCAGGUAAUUAAAUGUUAAUUAUUAAGAAGGAUUCAUCAUCAUGUGUAUUAAUUUAUAAUUUUACUAAUAAUUUUUUAAAUGUUACAGGUUUGUUAUAUCAAGUACCCCCGGGUAAGGAACAUAGAUGAUCCAUGGGUUAUUGUUACAAGACUCAACCCGAGAGGCCGAGUUCAGGGAAGUUCUGAGCUGGAAGACCCACUACAACCAAGCACAUCCGACAACAUCAGUGCAGCAGAAGAUUUAGCUGGAGUUGGCCUUGUAGUCGAUUUAACCGACUUCGGAGAGGAAGCCGCCGUUCACGUAGAGGAUGAACCAGUGAUUGGAGAGUUUCACCAAGAUCCAGAUUCAGAUUCAUCUGGUGAUGAUGACUCGGAAACAGAGUAGCGUCGACUUUUUUUUUUUAAUAGAAAUACCGAGGAAAUUCCGAGGGAAGAUAGGUUUUCCUCGAAAUUUCCUCGGAAUAGACUUUGUCGAUUUAGGGAUUUGAUUAUAGAGUCCUUUUCCUCGGAAUUUCCUCGGAAUUUCCUCGAAAUAUUCCGACGGAAUUCUUAGGAAGGUAGGGGUUUCCUCGGAAAUUCCAUUAUUUUCCUCGGAAUUCCCUCGGAAUAUUCCGAGGAAAUUUCGAGGAACUAGGGGUUUUUAACCGAAAACAACGUUUUGCGGAUUGAAUACACGUAUAUAACCUUCAUUAAGUGUCUUAACCAGAUUAUGAAGUCAAACUUUGGUGUUUUACCCAAUAACAAACACUUUUACGAUUGCAUGAACGAAAACCACACAACAUAAGAGAAACACUUAUACACUUUAAUAAACGGUAAAGGGAAUACUUACAAUUAUUUUUGAAAUUUUGUUAUUUCAUGGUUUAUGAUCAUCUAUACA